rnacentral:lncRNA from 1 species
CCGCGCCUGCCGGCACCGAUGGGGAUGGGAUGGAGCCGGGAUGCUCCGCCCGACGUCGCCGCUCCGGGCCCCGCUGCCGGGGUUGGGGCCGCUCCUCAGCCCUGCGCUCGCCCACCUCCAUCCUUUCUUGUUUUCUCCCAAAUGUUGGGGCUCACAACCACGCUCACCUCUCCCAGCAUCACCUGGAGCUGGUCCCCGGCGCGCACGAGGCUGAGGGCGGAACCUGCCCUGCCUGCACAGCCACCGCCACCGGGGUCAGCAGCCCCGUCCCCGUCACCCCAAAGGGACGCUCAUUUCCAUCCCAGAGCUCCAUCUCCACCAUUUGUGGGGUCUCACCCCCAUCCCUUGGCCGCCUGCACCCCCCCACUCAGCACCACGGGACGACGCACCUCUGUGCAGCACUACUACACAUCGAACCCCCACCCCAGCAACACAGAUACCCGUGGGGCCGCAGCACCGUGCAGCAGCACCCUUGGGUGCAGAGGGAUGCGGUGAUGCACAGUUCAGGUUCCUGCAGGCAUGGCCCCGUCAGAGGCGCCUGUUUUGGGGAUGAUGUCACCGUGAGGCCAGGAGAUCCCCUGCCAUCCCUCCUCCUGCCAAACAGGUUCCCCAAACCCCUGCCCUCUGCUUCACGAAUGCGUUCUUCUGACUCAGGGAUGGGAGCGGGCAGGCCCAGGGCUGACAGAGGGGUGAGGGGGGGCUGGCCAGGUCUGGGGGACAUGUCUGUGCAUGGACCAGGUGGGGACACACAGCUUGGCACACCCUUGGGCUGGGACCAGCAGGGAGAGGGGCACAGGGCACCAGCAGGGACCCUGCUCAGUGCCACCGUGUCUGUGACCACCCACACCAAAAGGAUGUGCCCCUCUCUUGGCAUCACCGACUGCACCCCAUGGGCUUCUGGCCUGGCUUGGAGCUGGGAUUUUCCCCACAUUCCCAGCAGCUGUGCAGCCCCAGGGGGAUGGGAUGGGGGCAGAGCCCCAUGGGUCUCCAGGCAGCACUGGGCAGCGUGGGGCAGGGGCCCAGGACAGCAGCACUGCAGAGCUGCGCCAGCCCCACUCAAUGCCUCAUACAAGCAGCAGCGCAGGCAUCGAUUGCUCUGCUGC